UAGUAGACUCAGAACACAAUGGGAACAC
rnacentral:piRNA from 1 species